rnacentral:rRNA from 1 species
AGAAGCUUGCUUCUCUUGAGAGCGGCGGACGGGUGAGUAAUGCCUAGGAAUCUGCCUGGUAGUGGGGGAUAACGUUCGGAAACGGACGCUAAUACCGCAUACGUCCUACGGGAGAAAGCAGGGGACCUUCGGGCCUUGCGCUAUCAGAUGAGCCUAGGUCGGAUUAGCUAGUUGGUGGGGUAAUGGCUCACCAAGGCGACGAUCCGUAACUGGUCUGAGAGGAUGAUCAGUCACACUGGAACUGAGACACGGUCCAGACUCCUACGGGAGGCAGCAGUGGGGAAUAUUGGACAAUGGGCGAAAGCCUGAUCCAGCCAUGCCGCGUGUGUGAAGAAGGUCUUCGGAUUGUAAAGCACUUUAAGUUGGGAGGAAGGGUUGUAGAUUAAUACUCUGCAAUUUUGACGUUACCGACAGAAUAAGCACCGGCUAACUCUGUGCCAGCAGCCGCGGUAAUACAGAGGGUGCAAGCGUUAAUCGGAAUUACUGGGCGUAAAGCGCGCGUAGGUGGUUAGUUAAGUUGGAUGUGAAAUCCCCGGGCUCAACCUGGGAACUGCAUUCAAAACUGACUGACUAGAGUAUGGUAGAGGGUGGUGGAAUUUCCUGUGUAGCGGUGAAAUGCGUAGAUAUAGGAAGGAACACCAGUGGCGAAGGCGACCACCUGGACUGAUACUGACACUGAGGUGCGAAAGCGU